rnacentral:rRNA from 1 species
UACAGAGGUCCCGAGCGUUGUUCGGAUUCAUUGGGCGUAAAGGGUGCGUAGGCGGCGGGGAAAGUCUGAUGUGAAAUCCUGGGGCUCAACCCUGGAACUGCAUUGGAUACUUCCUUGCUAGAGUACUGGAGAGGAAACUGGAAUUUACGGUGUAGCAGUGAAAUGCGUAGAGAUCGUAAGGAAGGCUGGUGGCGAAAGCGAGCCUCUGGACAGUUACUGACGCUGAUGCACGAAGGCCAGGGGAGCAAACGGG